rnacentral:lncRNA from 1 species
UACUUCACACGACGACCCGUGAACGACUACUUCCCUCGAUGACUCGAACCGCUCCGAAAACGCACGCUUCGAAGGUAUAAUCCCGAGAUGAUGAUCACUCGUGAACGAAUGCAUGUGUUGCAUGAGAUGAAUCGUAUGUUUGCGCCGUGUCUGAGAGAGGUCUUUGCACGUUCCUCGUUUGCCAUGCCGCCGUCCCGUGGGAACCCGGAAUUGGGAGCACCCCACCAUCCUUGCAUGACUCGCUCACGCUCACUUCCUUUUGCACCGGUAUCUCUGUGAGUUACCAGGACCAGAAUGUUGCCGUGGCACCAUUUCCGUUUCACCGCCGUGGCACCUUUUUCCUUCCGCCAUGGCGACAAAUGUUUCAUAUCUUGCUCAUGUUAGCGUUUUCAUAAAAAUUGCAUAAACCUUGAUUAUGUCAUCUGCAUCAUGAUAACAACAUUUAAAAUGUUUAAAAUUGUGUUUGCUUUAAAUUGCUAAAUGACAUAUGGGGAUUUUUCGGAAUUGUCGUUUGUUGUUUCCAGCCUCAUUUAAACUUGCCUAGAUAGGUGGUUUGCUCAUGCUUCACCCCUUGCCAUGUUUAAUAACAUUUAAUAAUGUUGGGUACAUAAACGAGAGCGAACUAAAUAACUUGAAUGUGGUGUUUCGUCAAUAUGCAACUCGUUGCAUAUUGAGCUCCACUUAACUUGUAGUAUUGUUUGUUGCACUUUGCCAUGCCAUGGCUCAUUAAAUCAGACAUGCAUCAUACUUGUUUGUGCAUCAUGACAUGUUUAUGCUUGUGUGUUUACCAUGUUGUUUGCUUCUUUCCGGUUUGCUUCUCUCGUUAGCUUCGGUUUCGUUCCGGAGUUGUGAGCAUUCGUUCGACUACGUCCAUUUGUCUUCUUCUUGGACUCGUUCUUCCUAGCGGGAUUUUAGGCAAGAUGACCAUUACCCUUGAUAUCACUUCUAUCUUUGCUUGCUAGUUGCUUCGUUCUAUCGCUAUGCUGCGCUACCUAUCACUUGUUUACCAUGCCUCCCAUAUUGCCAUGUCAGCCUCUAACCUUUUCACCCUUCCUAGCAAACCGUUGCUUGGCUACGUUACCGCUUUGCUCAGCCCCUCUUAUAGCGUUGUUAGUUGAAGGUGAAGUUGAACAUUGCUCCAUGGUGGACAGGAUUAUGUUGGGAUAUCACAAUAUCUCUUAUUUAAUUAAUGCAUCUAUAUACUUGGUAAAGGGUGGAAGACUCGGCCUUAUGCCUGGUGUUUUGUUCCACACUUGCCGCCCUAGUUUCUGUCAUACCGGUGUUAUGUUCCCGGAUUUUGCGUUCCUUACGCGGUUGGGUGAUUUAUGGGACCCCCUUGACAGUUCGCUUUGAAUAAAACUCCUCCAGCAAGGCCCAACCUUGGUUUUACCAUUUGCCUACCUAAGCCUUUUUCCCUUGGGUUCUACAGACUCAAGGGUCAUCUUUAUUUUACCCCCCCCGGGCCAGUGCUCGUCGCGAGUGUUGGUCCAACCUGUCAACCGCCGGCGGCCACCAGGGGCAACUCUGGGCUGGCCUACCGGAAGUUUGGACAAUCCGGUGUGCCCUGAGAACGAUAUAUGUGCAUCUCCUAUCAGGAUUUGUCGGCACAUUCGGGCGGCUUUGCUGGUCUUGUUUUACCAUUGUCGAAAUGUCUUGUAAACCGGGAUUCCGAGUCUGAUCGAGUCUUCCUGGGAGAAGGUAUAUCCUUCGUUGAUCGCGAGAGCUUAUCAUGGGCUAAGUUGGGACACCCCUGCAGGGUAUAAUCUUUCGAAAGCCGUGUCUGCGGUUAUAGGCAGAUGGGAAUUUGUUAAUGUCCGGUUGUAGAUAACUUGACACCAGAUCCGAAUUAAAAUGCAUCAACCGCGUGUGUAGCCGUGAUGGUCUCUUUUCGGCGGAGUCCGGGAAGUGAACAUGGUUUCUGUGUUAUGUUUGACGUAAGUAGGAGUUCAGGAUCACUUCUUGAUCAUUGCUAGUUCACGACCGUUCCUUUUGCUCUCUUCUCGCUCUUAUUUGCGUAUGUUAGCCACCAUAUAUGCUUAGUCGCUAUUGCAACCUCACCACUUUACCACUUCCUACCCAUAAGCUUAAAUAGUCUUGAUCUCGUGGGUUUUGAGAUUGCUGAGUCCUCGUGACUCACCAGAUACUAUCACAACAGUUGCAGGUGCCGAUGAUACCAGUGCAGGUGAUGCAACCGAGCUCAUAUGGGAGCUCAACGAAGACCUUGGUCGUUGCUAUGUUUCGUUUCAUGUUGAUCAGUAGUGGAGCCCAGUUGGGACGAUCAGGGAUCUAGCAGUUGGGUUAUCUUUUUUUCUUUUGGCUUCGUCCGUAGUCGGACUAUAUGUGUGUACUCUGAAUGAUGUAUGAUUUAUUAUAUGUUCAUUGUGUGAAGUGG